rnacentral:rRNA from 1 species
UAGGGAAUCUUCCGCAAUGGACGCAAGUCUGACGGAGCAACGCCGCGUGAGUGAAGAAGGAUUUCGGCUCGUAAAACUCUGUUGUUAGAGAAGAACAGCGCAUAGAGUAACUGUUAUGCGUGUGACGGUAUCUAACCAGAAAGCCACCGCUAACUACGUGCCAGCAGCCGCGGUAAUACGUAGGGCGCGAGCGUUGUCCGGAAUUAUUGGGCGUAAAGGGCUUGUAGGUGGCUAGUUGCGUCUGUCGUGAAAGCUCAUGGCUUAACUGUGGGUUUGCGGUGGGGACGGGCUGGCUUGAGUGCAGUAGGGGAGGCUGGAAUUCCUGGUGUAGCGGUAGAAUGCGCAGAUAUCAGGAGGAAUACCGGUGGCGAAGGCGGGUCUCUGGGCUGUUACUGACACUGAGGAGCGAAAGCAUGGGGAGCGAACAGG